rnacentral:ncRNA from 1 species
GCUACGGACUUAAAUUUUGAGCCUUAUUAGAGAAAUCUACUAAGUGACUGUUUUCACAUUCAGGGAAACCUAAAGUUUGAGGUAUGAGGUAAUCCUGAGCCAAAUUUUAAUUAUAAAAUAGGUGCAGAGACUCGAAGGAAACUAUCCUAACGAAAAAUUUUUUCUCUAUUUUUUAUUACGAGUAUUAAUUCAGUGUACAAUCCAAAAUAUAUUUGAAAUACUCAAAACAUCUGAAUACCAAUGUUCAUAUUAGUUUUGAAAUAAACUUUAAUAGACGAGGAUAAAGAUAGAGUCCUUUUUUACAAUCUAUACAAUUUUUAUUUAUAGAUAAUUGUAAAAAGAAAAUCCGUUGGCUUUAAUAGACCUUGAGGGUUCAAGUCCCUCUACCCCCA